CCCGCAUCCAGCCCCUCUCUUCCUGCCCCCCUCCCCCGGACUGCCGCUCGCCGCUCCCGGUGGGGAUGGAAGUCCCCCGUAAGCCUCUUCCUUCUCCCCGGUAGCAGGCGGCGGGGGCCCCGAGUUCGGUGCAAAAAUGCUGGGCAUGUACGUGCCGGAUAGGUUCGCCCUGAAGUCGUCCCGGGUGCAGGACGGGAUGGGGCUCUACACGGCCCGCAGAGUGAAGAAGGGUGAAAAGUUUGGCCCCUUUGCAGGGGAGAAGCGAAUGCCGCAGGAGCUGGAUGAGGACACAGACUGCAGGCUCAUGUGGGAAGUUCGUGGGAACAAAGGCGAGGUCCUUUAUGUCCUGGAUGCCAGCAACCCACGCCAUUCGAACUGGCUGCGGUUUGUCCAUGAGGCUCCAUCCCAGGAACAGAAGAACCUGGCAGCCAUCCAGGAAGGGGAAAAUAUUUUCUAUCUGGCUGUGGAAGAUAUUGAAACAGACACAGAACUUCUGAUUGGGUACUUGGACAGUGACAUGGAAGAAGAGGAGGAGGAGGAGGAGGAAGUAACAGUUAUCCAGGAAGAUGAAGAAAGUGGCAGCAAUAAAGAAGUGCAGCCAGCUGGUGAAAAGAUUGCAGAUCCCCUCACCUGUAAACAGGACCAUGCAUGCCCAAACUGUGAAUCCAGUUUUGCCAGCCAGGAGAUUCUAGCUGAGCACCUGCAGACUCUGCACCAAAAACCCAGUGAGGAAAAGGAAUUUAAGUGCCGAAAUUGUGGAAAGAAAUUCCCUGUUAAACAAGCUCUACAAAGACAUGUCCUGCAGUGCACAGAGAAUAUCAGCCCAGGAGACUCCUCAAGAAGUUUCCAGUGCUCUGUUUGCAAUAGUGCCUUCAGCUCGGAAUCGAGUUAUGAGCAGCACAAGGAGGCGUGCAGAGGGGAUGCCAGGUUCAUAUGCAAGGCAGAUAGCUGCGGGAAGAGGUUCAAGAGCAAGGAUGCCCUGAAAAAGCACAAAGAAAAUGUUCACAGUGGAAAUUCUAGGAAGAAGCUGAUGUGUUCAGUGUGCAAUAAGAAAUGUUCCUCAGCAGCAAAUCUCCAGGAGCAUCGAAAGGUCCAUGAGAUCUUUGAGUGUCAAGAAUGUGACAAGAAAUUCAUUUCGGCAAACCAGCUGAAACGCCAUAUGAUAACUCAUUCAGAAAAACGCCCCUACACCUGCGAGGUUUGCAAUAAGUCCUUCAAACGACUUGAUCAAGUGACUGCACACAAAAUAAUACACAGUGAAGAUAAACCUUAUAAAUGCAAGCUUUGUGGAAAGGGAUUUGCUCACAGAAAUGUUUACAAGAAUCACAAGAAGACCCAUUCUGAAGAGAGACCGUUCCAGUGUGAGGAAUGCAAAGCCUUGUUCCGAACCCCCUUCUCUCUACAAAGACAUCUGUUAAUCCACAACAGUGAGAGGACCUUCAAGUGUGAUCACUGUGAUGCCACUUUCAAAAGAAAGGACACAUUAAAUGUUCAUAUUCAAGUUGUACACGAUGGCCAUAAGAAAUACAAGUGUGACCUGUGUGACAAAGCUUUUGUGACACCCUCAGUCCUGAAGAGCCAUAAGAAAACUCACACAGGAGAAAAAGAGAAGAUUUGCCCGUAUUGUGGACAGAAGUUUGCAAGCAAUGGAACACUGAGAGUUCAUAUUCGAAGCCAUACAGGUGAGCGUCCUUACCAGUGUCCUUACUGUGACAAAGCUUUCAGCAAGAACGAUGGCUUGAAGAUGCACAUUCGCACCCACACCAGGGAAAAGCCGUACCAGUGCUCGGAGUGUAACAAGGCUUUCAGUCAGAAGCGGGGCCUGGACGAGCACAUGAGGACCCACACAGGGGAGAAGCCCUUCCAGUGUGAUCAAAAGCCUGGAGGUCCUUGGCAGCUGAGCUAGGGGCUGUACACACGUAAUAAGACAAGUGGUCUUCUCUGCAGUUCAAGAAGAGAGAAACAAGAGCUGGAAACCGAGAAGCAUUAUAUAAAGCACAGCAUGUGCUUGAUGAAGGAGGAUGUACUUCUGUUCAACAGCCCAUCCUUUAGUCGAAGGACUGCAGGCCUACUGGUGCUGACAGCAGAUGGCUCAGAAUAUUCUCACAGGAGAGCAUGAAGUAACUGGAGAGACUGGAUAAUUGCAUUCACGCUGUUGACUCUGAAGUCCAGAGCUGUUACAGGCUGUGAAGGAGCGCAAAGAAAAGAGUUGACCACGAUGGAUGUACAGCAGUAACGAGGUGAAAUUGCAGUGCCCUUUCCACAGAACUGAUAGCCUGUUAAAUAUUCCUCUGUAAACAGGAGUAAAUGAGCAGGCAGAGAUGCCUCAGACGUCUGGCAAAAAUGUUGUUAAUUCAGUUGUGUGGCUGGGGUUGAACAAGUGGCGCAAAGCUGAGAGCUGUCUUGUGUUCAGUUUGUUUAUUUUUAAAAGCUUGUGCUUCCUCCCAUUUGUCUUGGCCAUUCAGUUGAAUAUAUUCAACAAAGAAAUAGGAACUGUGUACAACUGGAAGCAUUUCCAGAUGGGUUCUGUGUUACAAGAGGAAAUACAAUCUGUGGGACAUGUAUAACAAUAUAUAGAAACAAAGGCUGUACACCUCUGGCUUGAAAGUACAUUUAGCAUAGUAAAUCCUCAGAGUACACCUGGAGGAGUGAAAUGUGCUCACCAUCAGCACAUGCUGCUGCUAGUGCCUCCCUCAAAUAAAAUGUUCAAGGAGGCAGGGUAUAGGAGUGAGAAUAAACUAUUAAAUGCCUUGUUAUCUCUCAAGCCAAGUGACAGAAUUUCUGCUGGAGAACUGAGCUGUUUUGCAUCUUAUCUUAUAUAUGUAGAGCUGGAAACACAUAUGAGAACACAAUAUCAGAACCAAACCCCAGACCCCGAUGUGUUGGCUCUGUAAGCUUCCUCCAGGGGAUUUUACAGAAACCAUGGCUUCAUGUCUCGUUGCACAUGUCUAAAUAAGUAGUAAAGACAAGCAUUUUGCAUUAGAGAUGGUACAGUACAACAGCAAGGUUAUUAAUUUAUUUGCCCCUGGCAAAAGCAUUUCAUGGCUGUAGCCAUCAGCUCCAAUUAUUUGUUACAGCGUCUCGACUUCUUUGAGUAUUGUUUAUCCAACAGUAUUUAUGUGGAAGCUCAUUUGUGAGAGGUUUAAACAUUUUUUACAGGGUGAAGUUGGUAUGUGUUUAGCAUAAAUACAAAUUAUUUUAGAGAAUGAGGGGAAGACACCGACCAAAAUUGGCUGUAAACAGCUGCUGAAUUCACAACAGGGAGCUGGACUUAAAUGGGUUUUAAUACUUCAGAUUCCUCCCCAAUCCUUUUAUUUUCUCCAAAGCAAUUUCCAGCAAAACCACAUCUUAUUUCCCCUUGCUGAGACAGACCUAAGCAUCCCCCAUUCUUUGAGAAUGUCCAAAUUCCUGUAGGCAGACGCCUAGGAAUGUGUAAUUUAAAAACAACAAAAAGAAAGUAAAUAGAUGAGGAGAAGAAAAAUAUGAUAGCUGCAAGGGUAAUACUGCAUUCAUAACCAGUUAAUAAAAUAGACAAAUAUAAAGUGUCCUCUUGACUGUAAAACCUUAGCAGGUAGGUAUUAGCACUUGAUUUAUAUUCUUACAUAUUUGAUAGGUAAAAAUUUGAUUUGCAUUUCAUAUGCAUACUGCUGCUAUUUUUGCAUGUCAUCUUACAACAGAUGCUGCUCUGUAGAAAUGACAGGUGGAUAAAUCCCAGAUUCUUUUAUCAGAAUGAGGAUUUCUGGAAGUUUUUCUCCUCCCUCAAAAAAAAAAAAAAAAAAAAAUCAAGCAUCCUCAUUCCUGCCUUGAUGAUCAAGUGAAAGGACAAAGUAAUGUUUCUAAGGUGUGUAAGUUUUCAUUUUCUUGUGGGAAAUGUUGGUGACCUUGUUCUAUCCUGAGCUACCUCUAUUCUGCCAGCAGAUUCCAGAAACCCCCUGAGAUAUUUUUAGAAAUUAACUUCAUGGCUAAGUUAUAUAUGAAUAAGAGAGCAUGCAGAAAGGCAAAAAAUAGGGAAAACUUUAAAACAGCAAGAUAACACUUUUGUAUAUUUUUUGCAGAAAGAGCUAAGGAGAUUGUUUCUCAGAGUUCUUUGCCUGCUCAUGGUUUUAGGGAGGGUUGCUUUUUCCAUCAAUUUAUCUGUGACCUGGAGGAGCCAUGGUGACAGAUUCUCAGAUUGUCCCCAGAGUCAUUCAAGCCCUGGGGUGAUGUUUGUUCUGCCUCUAACAAAGGCCAAGAUAUUGGAUUAUAGCAUACUCCCUGCCAUAAAUUUAGUAUUUCCUCUCUUUAAAACCAUCAAUUUACUGUCAUUAUGUUCCUUCAAAAGUCUUUGCAACUGAAACCUUUCCAGAAGGCAAAAAAUUAAAUUUCCUGCCUGAGAAGUUGAGAGAUAAAAUCUGCCUGGGUUCCUGUUUCUCUGACAAAGUCCUACCAUUGGAUAAAAUAUGCCAAUUGGACUUCUUUUGAUAUUAUUGGCAUCAUGAAUUGUUACAUGGAAGUUUUGUUUCCUCAGCCUUGGGUGAAUUCUUUUGCUGAUAUGUCCGUUAAAUAACGGAAGUGGUUUUGAAUAUGACAUGAAAAGGAGAAGUUGCUGUGCUGAUGACAAAUGCAUGUACAAUACCCCUGUAAGCACUUCAGCCUUUAUAACUCCAGAUUUAUUCCCGAUGCUUGGUCAUUCCCUGUGUUAUAUUGUUCCUUUUAUGACGUGAAGAACAAACUUUGAGAGGAAAGGAAGCUGUCUCAUGCGUUUUGAAGCCUUGUUUAAGCUAAAAGCCACUGCUAUCACUUUGUGGGUAGUCUCACACCUUGGUUUUUGAUUGUCCUGUGCUGCUGGAACUGGAGUUCUUGGAUGUGUGUCUCUUUUCUCCAUUGUGUGAAGCACAUAUCAUGAAAGUGAUGUUCUCCUUCCAGAAGUUCUCAGCUGGAAAUGAUAGAACAGAAGUAAAGGUAGGAAGCAGUAUCACAAAAUCAGUUGAAAAUGAUAAAAAGAUCCAGUUACUCAGCCUGCUUGAGUAAGACUAAGUGCAGUAGACUUGCAGGCAAAGUGAAAAGUGGGGUUUUUUUCCCCAAAGCAGAAAGAUUUGCAGGAUUUUCUAAAAAUAGCCCUUCAGCUGUUGACUUUUUUGAAGCAGACAAGUAAAGCAGAUUAAAUUAAUACUCAAAACAAUCAGCAAACAUGAUGCUUCUGCGGGCACAACUGUGGGACAAAGAGACUAUUUUUCUGUGUCAGUGAUAUUCCUGAAAUAUGGUAGGUGCAGUUAAUUUCAGAUUUGAUGGUUAUUAACAUUUCUGAAAUGUCUGAAACACUGGCUUGGCUCUACUGUAAUGCACUUUUUGAACUGAUAGUGUUUUGUAAUCCUGUUGUUUGGUGAUGAAUAUUUGCACGUUUUCUUGGGCUUGUGCCCAUAAUUUACAAGGAGAUGGUUUGUAGUCUGCAGAAAACCCCAGAAAAUUUCUUGUCUGGGUGUACUCAGACAAACUGAAAUAAACCUUCAAUGCCAAGAUAUGAUACAUGCUAUUCCUGCUUUGAACACUACCUUCAUCACAUGUGACCUUGGUGUUUGAUGAUUUGGCACAUUGCCACAGCAGAAUUCGAUGAUCCACUGGAAAUCGUGAUUCUUUCAUGUGGAAAACAAUAAAAAGCAUAUGGUAUCAAUUAUACUUCACUAUUUCUUUGAGAAUUCAAGCACCAGAAAUAAAAAACACUGUCUGAAGACUUUGAAUUUCCAUUAACUGGAAACAGUUGGUAUAAAUUAUUUUUACUGAAACUGCUCUACUGGCCCUGGGUAAUAAAAGCAAAAAUAACAUUGGCAUUUGAUUGACUUCAUAGGUGCAAGGUAUGUCAUGCUCAGAGGGAGCAUAAAGUUCCAGGUUGGGCAAUGGAAUCAUUUUAUUAAAUACCAUAUUUGUCAUGGAGAAGCUCUUGGGAGAAUCAGUGUCCUGUUACCUUAAUUUCUACUGCACCUCUGCUGAGCUUGGUCAUUUGCUGGCCAAAUAAACUGGGU